rnacentral:snoRNA from 1 species
CUUUUUUUUUUACAAAACAAUCAUAUGCCCUAUUAUGUACCGAGGCAGAGAGAACGGCCUCUGGUCCCCUCGACAUCAUGUCUUCGGGGCCGGCGACUGCCCAUCUGCUGGUUCUAUCCUCAAACGCCGGGACAAGG